CGUAUUGUCGUCCGGCGCAGGAGCGCCACGGGGGACGCGGCUGUCCCCUCUGCCGUCACCCUGUCCUGCGAUCAGGGACCAGGCCGAUUCUCUCUGUUGGGCGGGUGUGACGGCGGACAGCGCGCCCCCUGUCGGUCGGAAGGAGCUGCUGCCGUCACGAGGGGUGGCAGUUUUCCUCGCUCUUGCCACCCUGUCAACUUUAAAUAUACGCCAGGGUCGAAAAAGUGCUGGCGCAGAAGAGAGCCCUCGCCGCGCCUCUCUCGGGCGGGGAUGCCGGUCUGCCCACCCUGCUCCAAAAUGUCAAGUGGAUUAAGAACUCGGCCUUCUCAUCCACAAGGCGCUGAAUUGGGCAUCUGUAUGGCGACUACCAAACAGCAGAGUCAAGGGAGCAUUACCAGAAUAGCCGGCUGCUCUUGGGACGGAGGCCUUUCCAAACAGCCUCUCAGAGGGAUGCAGAGAGGAUUAAACCAAAAAGACAUUUAUCUUGACAGCGUGGGCAGUCGGAUAUGGGACAGUGGUUUGCUAUUCAGUUCCUGAAGGACACUUUCCAAUCUACCACACAUUCAUUAUUUUCCUAUUAAUGAUCGUCUGAGCCUGAUAAAUCGAGGGUUAGAGUCAGAGUGUUGUUUUCGGGGAUACUUCGGGAACAGGAUUACGAAAAAGACGAACCGCAGUCUAAGUGGCAGCCAAAGUCCUAUUGAAAUUCUGUGGGGAAAUGGUGUUAAAGUAAUGGAUGCAUGAUUGAUGCAACAUGCCAGUGAUUCUAGUUGUGAAUAAUGAAGUUGGAUGACUGAUCUAGGUCAAGCUUCUGCCUGAAUUUAAGCUCAGUGAUUGAGAACACACAAGGUGCAGUAUUAGUACAGAGGCCCACUCACUCUAAAAGCAGCAUAAAUAAUGAAAAGCUGCCCAUAAUACCACAUGGCACACUAGGGGGAUGUGGCACAUGUGUAGAGGGAAGUGGUACUGUUUUUGUGGCAAAAAAGAAAAAGGUGUGUACUUUGCAUAGACAUUGAGUACAAAAAUAAGUCAAACUGGUUGGGUUAUAAUGCCACUCAGCUUUAUUUGAAUGGAUCUGCGGGGGAAAAUGAACACCCAGACUGAGGUUGGUGAAAUAUGCUCACAUUUCACCUCAAGGGAAAGGGAAUGAGCCGAAUAAUGAAGGGGAACUGGGUGUGCAAAAGUCAAUCUCACUCAAGGGAGAUGCCCUAAUGGCCAUGCCCAGUUGUGCUCGUCUCCCAACCUUAUUUGUCCAUGGAUAUGGCCGAGCGGGCGUGAACGAGAGCUGAACUUUUCUCUGCAUCCACCAAACGGCAGUCCAACUGUUCGACCAGGUGCCGGGUGCUCAAACGGUUGUGAGAUACAGAUUUUGAAUAAGGUAACGUAUACUAAUUUUUUUUGUGUGUGUAUGUGUGCAUUCAGGUUUUCUGUACGGACCUGCAUGGAACAUACUAAUCUUCUUAAAUAGUUGAGCUUCAUGUGGCGUGCACUCAGAGUUAAGUGUAAAAGGCACUCCAUUAAAAAAGGAAAAGGCUUGUUUUUAAAUUGAGGCGAGGGUGCGCGGCUCUGAUUGCCCACAUCACAAAAUUGUUUUUACCGCAGAGAAUAAAUGGGUGGCUUGUUUGGCUGCA
ensembl:lncRNA